GGGGGACCAUCCUCCAAGGCUAAAUACUACUGACUGACCGAUAGUGAACCAGUACCGUGAGGGAAAGGCGAAAAGAACCCCGGAGAGGGGAGUGAAAUAGAACCUGAAACCGUAUGCGUACAAGCAGUGGGAGCCUACUUUGUUAGGUGACUGCGUACCUUUUGUAUAAUGGGUCAGCGACUUAUAUUCAGUGGCGAGCUUAACCGAAUAGGGGAGGCGUAGCGAAAGCGAGUCUUAAUAGGGCGUUUAGUCGCUGGGUAUAGACCCGAAACCGGGCGAUCUAUCCAUGGGCAGGUUGAAGGUUAGGUAACACUGACUGGAGGACCGAACCGACUACCGUUGAAAAGUUAGCGGAUGACCUGUGGAUCGGAGUGAAAGGCUAAUCAAGCUCGGAGAUAGCUGGUUCUCCUCGAAAGCUAUUUAGGUAGCGCCUCAUGUAUCACUGUAGGGGGUAGAGCACUGUUUCGGCUAGGGGGUCAUCCCGACUUACCAAACCGAUGCAAACUCCGAAUACCUACAAGUGCCGAGCAUGGGAGACACACGGCGGGUGCUAACGUCCGUCGUGAAAAGGGAAACAACCCAGACCGUCAGCUAAGGUCCCAAAGUCAUGGUUAAGUGGGAAACGAUGUGGGAAGGCUUAGACAGCUAGGAGGUUGGCUUAGAAGCAGCCACCCUUUAAAGAAAGCGUAAUAGCUCACUAGUCGAGUCGGCCUGCGCGGAAGAUGUAACGGGGCUCAAACCAUGCACCGAAGCUACGGGUAUCAUCUUAUGAUGAUGCGGUAGAGGAGCGUUCUGUAAGCCUGUGAAGGUGAGUUGAGAAGCUUGCUGGAGGUAUCAGAAGUGCGAAUGCUGACAUGAGUAACGACAAUGCGAGUGAAAAACUCGCACGCCGAAAGACCAAGGUUUCCUGCGCAACGUUAAUCGACGCAGGGUUAGUCGGUCCCUAAGGCGAGGCUGAAAAGCGUAGUCGAUGGAAAACAGGUUAAUAUUCCUGUACUUCCAGUUAUUGCGAUGGAGGGACGGAGAAGGUUAGGCCAGCCUGGCGUUGGUUGUCCAGGUUUAAGGUGGUAGGCUGAAAUCUUAGGCAAAUCCGGGAUUUCAAGGCCGAGAGCUGAUGACGAGUUGCCUUCAGGCGACGAAGUGGUUGAUACCAUGCUUCCAAGAAAAGCUCCUAAGCUUCAGAUAACUGGGAACCGUACCCCAAACCGACACAGGUGGUUAGGUAGAGAAUACCAAGGCGCUUGAGAGAACUCGGGUGAAGGAACUAGGCAAAAUGGCACCGUAACUUCGGGAGAAGGUGCGCCGGCGAGGGUGAAGGACUUGCUCCGUAAGCCCAUGCCGGUCGAAGAUACCAGGCCGCUGCGACUGUUUAUUAAAAACACAGCACUCUGCAAACACGAAAGUGGACGUAUAGGGUGUGACGCCUGCCCGGUGCCGGAAGGUUAAUUGAUGGGGUUAGCGCAAGCGAAGCUCUUGAUCGAAGCCCCGGUAAACGGCGGCCGUAACUAUAACGGUCCUAAGGUAGCGAAAUUCCUUGUCGGGUAAGUUCCGACCUGCACGAAUGGCGUAACGAUGGCGGCGCUGUCUCCACCCGAGACUCAGUGAAAUUGAAAUCGCUGUGAAGAUGCAGUGUAUCCGCGGCUAGACGGAAAGACCCCGUGAACCUUUACUAUAGCUUUGCACUGGACUUUGAAUUUGCUUGUGUAGGAUAGGUGGGAGGCUUUGAAGUGGGGACGCCAGUUCUCAUGGAGCCAUCCUUGAAAUACCACCCUGGCAACUUUGAGGUUCUAACUCAGGUCCGUCAUCCGGAUCGAGGACAGUGUAUGGUGGGUAGUUUGACUGGGGCGGUCUCCUCCCAAAGAGUAACGGAGGAGUACGAAGGUGCGCUCAGACCGGUCGGAAAUCGGUCGUAGAGUAUAAAGGCAAAAGCGCGCUUGACUGCGAGACAAACACGUCGAGCAGGUACGAAAGUAGGUCUUAGUGAUCCGGUGGUUCUGUAUGGAAGGGCCAUCGCUCAACGGAUAAAAGGUACUCCGGGGAUAACAGGCUGAUACCGCCCAAGAGUUCAUAUCGACGGCGGUGUUUGGCACCUCGAUGUCGGCUCAUCACAUCCUGGGGCUGAAGCCGGUCCCAAGGGUAUGGCUGUUCGCCAUUUAAAGUGGUACGCGAGCUGGGUUUAGAACGUCGUGAGACAGUUCGGUCCCUAUCUGCCGUGGACGUUUGAGAUUUGAGAGGGGCUGCUCCUAGUACGAGAGGACCGGAGUGGACGAACCUCUGGUGUUCCGGUUGUCACGCCAGUGGCAUUGCCGGGUAGCUAUGUUCGGAAGAGAUAACCGCUGAAAGCAUCUAAGCGGGAAACUUGCCUCAAGAUGAGAUCUCACUGGGAUCUUGA
rnacentral:rRNA from 1 species